GGACCCGCACAAGCGGUGGAGCAUGUGGUUUAAUUCGAAGCAACGCGAAGAACCUUACCAAGUCUUGACAUCCCUCUGACCGGACAGUAACGUGUCCUUUCCUUCGGGACAGAGGUGACAGGUGGUGCAUGGUUGUCGUCAGCUCGUGUCGUGAGAUGUUGGGUUAAGUCCCGCAACGAGCGCAACCCUUAUUUUUAGUAGCCAGCAAGUAGUGUUGGGCACUCUAGAGAGACUGCCAGGGAUAACCUGGAGGAAGGUGGGGAUGACGUCAAAUCAUCAUGCCCCUUAUGAUUUGGGCUACACACGUGCUACAAUGGUAUCUACAAAGUGACGCAAGAUGGUGACAUGGAGCAAAAUCAACAGAAAAGAUAUCUCAGUUCGGAUUGUAGUCUGCAACUCGACUACAUGAAGCUGGAAUCGCUAGUAAUCGCGAAUCAGAAUGUCG
rnacentral:rRNA from 1 species